rnacentral:rRNA from 1 species
GAUAUAGCUGGUUUUCUGCGAAAUUUGUUUUAGCAAAUUGUUUAUUAUAUUAUUAGUAGGUAUAGCACUGAAUAUCUAUUCUUAAUAGAAUAAAAGGGAGUAUUAUUAAUACUUAUCUUGGAUAUUUAAUCUCAAAAUGACUAAUAAGUAAGAUAAAUAAUCAGACUUUUUGCGAUAAGGUAGAAAGUCAAAAGGGAAACAGCCCAGA